rnacentral:rRNA from 1 species
AUUGAACGCUAGCGGGAUGCCUUACACAUGCAAGUCGAACGGAGUGGCGAACGGGUGAGCAAUGAAUCGGAACGUGCCCAGUAGCGGGGGAUAACUACGCGAAAGCGUAGCUAAUACCGCAUACUAUUGGAGCGGCCGAUAUUGGAUUAGCUAGUUGGUGGGGUAACGGCUCACCAAGGCGACGAUCCGUAGCUGGUUUGAGAGGACGACCAGCCACACUGGGGCUGGGACACGGCCCAGACUCCAUCGGGAGGCAGCAGUGGGGAAUUUUGGCGAGUGGGGGAAACCCUGAUCCGGCCAUCCCGCGUGAGCGAUGAAGGCCUUCGGGUUGUAAAGCACUUUUGGCAGGAAAGCGGUACCUGCAGAGUAAGCACCGGCUAACUACGUGCCAGCAGCCGCGGUAAUAC